AUGGUCCGCGGGGUCGGGGCGAGGCGGGCCCCUGGCUCACAGGAGGCCGGAGGUGCGCGGUGGCCGUCGGCGGGUCCGGAGGCGGGCGCGCGGUCACAGGGUGCUCAGGUGCGGCAGCGCGUCCAGGGACCCGGCUCGGUCGCGCGCGGCGGCCGCAGACUCCACGCCGCGCAGCCACUCGGUGCACUUGCGCACCAGGCCCUCGUCGGCGGCCGCGGCCUCCUCCUCGUACUCCACGUCGUCGUACUUGUGCCGGUCGUUGAGCAGCGACACCUUGAGCAGCGGGCGCAGGUCGGCGGGGAGGCAGGGGCCGAGCGGGCGCCCGGCGUCGGCGAGGCUGCGGGGGGCGCCCGGCGGGGCCGCGCCAGCAGCUGCCUCUCCAGGUGGCGCCGCUGGAUGACCAGGACGGCCUCGGGCGUGAGGCUCAGGGAGAAGCGCCGGGCGGCGUCGGGCCCGGCCGCCGAGGCCGUGCUCCCCGCGGGGCCGUCGCCGGAGCCGGCCGGCCGGGGCGCGCACGGGGCGGGGGCGCGCGGGCGGCCGGGCGCGGCCGGGGGCAGGGCGCGCGGGGAGGCCGGGCCGGGGGCGCGGCGGGCCGGCGGCCUCUUCAGGGUGGCGGAGGGCCAGGAGCUGGACAGCAGCCCCUGGGGCCGCUCGGGGGGCCGCCUCUUCUUCUCCGCGGCCGCGGCGGGCGGCGAGGGCCCGGGCGGGGCGCAGGGGGGCGCGGGCGCCUUGCGGGGCGCGCCGGCUUCCGGGGCGGCGGCGGCCGCGCGGCCGGGACCCCCGGGGCGGGGGUGGGCGGCGGCGGCGGCACGGGCGGGAAAGGCAUGGUGCUGCCGGGCCGGCGGGUGCUCAGUGCCCUGGAAGGAGAGGGGCGGCUUUAGUCCCCGGGGCGCGGAGCCGGGCGCCCUCUCCAUGGGUGGCCGGGGUCGGCCCCUCGCGCUCCCUCCGUACCCACCUCGGUCCAGCCGCGGCAUCGCCGGCCCCGCCAGGUCCCGGCGCCCACACCCCGGGGCUGUACGCCGCCGAGGCACCCUCCUUCCUUGGGCAGCCGGGGGCUCUGCCCCCGCUCGGGGGCUCCUCGCCCUGCGGGGUGCGGAUCGCCACCGGCCGCCUGGUCCGCGCCGAGAGAGACGCGCGGGCGGGAGGAGGAGCUGAGCGCGCCGGCGGGAGGCGGGCGCCGCGGGGCGAGGUGCUCCUGCGGCCGGCUGGUGUCACGACCGACUGGGCCGGGCGACGCUCCUCGGCGGACCUGCCACCGCCAGGGCUAGUUUUCAUCCAUCGGAGGCGGGGAGAACCGGGCGUGUCCUAAGCCCUAGGCGGAGUCCUUGCCCAGUGCAGAGAAAAUCCGGUGCCACCUCGCAGUGCCUUUAAGAUGGUGGGAAGGACAGCGACGGGGACCGCUGGCCGGGCUGGCCUCGGAUUCCGGUGUCAGAGCAGAAAGCUGGCUGGAACUUGGAGGCGGGAAAAGACAUUUCAGUGAAUCGUCUGGUGUCGUUUUUAUAGAACGUUGAUAUAUCGCUGCUGAAAGGCAGUCAUUUUAAAUUUAAAAACCUAGUUCUCCUUGAAUAGGCAAAAUAAAUAAUGAUACAGGAAAUUUCAGACGUUAGGUUCUUUUAGGGAGUGAUUCCAGCGAGCGAAGGGGAGUAGGUAUUGCUGUAACAGUGGUUCAGCAUGCAUGAGACAUCUUCACUGUCAACUCAGAUUCUAGAGGUAGAGACAGAAAAAUAUUCCUACAGUAUUCAAACGUUUGCUGAAGAAAUGAAUGAUUCAUUGGCCCGUGACAGAGCGAUGCAUCAUAAAGUCAAAGGUGCAGGUAAGUCCUCCCAGCGUGGCUUAUGGAGAAUUUACCAAAAACACUGUCCAGAGGAUGCGUGCUCCUGGGUUAACCCAGGAACGUGACCAAGUUGUGUUGGUUAUGGCCCCGCGUCAGCUAAGAGCCUUCAGAUGUGGGCAAACUCAGGUGUGACCUGUGCCAACCUGCCAGCGGCCCUGCCCAGCCCCUCUGCUCUCUCCUGUGGCAGCACCCGCCCCUCCCUGCUGUCGGUGGCUUCCGGGACACUGGCCACGUUCCCCCCUCCCUGUCCCCAUGUGUUCCACUGGUCAGGGCAGGGCAGGAAGGAAACUUGAUAGAAACAUUGGCGGGAAGCAUUUCUCACCACAGCUGAUGGGGGACAGGUGGCUUAGGCCCCAUAAUCUCCCCGGCUCCCGCAAAAUACCCCACGUUUAUAUAUUCCCCACAAAACACACAAGCACAGCUCCCGGGCUCCUCGCUCUCCAUUCUCUCUGGGAGCUUGUCCCCUUCCCUGCAGGGGCCUCGAAGCGACCUGUCUCCUCCCACAGCUCGGGGGGAGUGCCUUCGGGGCAGUUUAGGUCAGAAAGUACCUGUCCAUGCUGAAAUCACACACAUUUUACUCCAGGUAUUUCUGGGAGGGUGUGGACCAGGUGUAGAAGCGGGGGCAGCAGGUGGGCAGGAGAAAAGAUGAAGUCACAGCGGACGGGGGGUGGGG
rnacentral:lncRNA from 9 species